AACGAACGCUGGCGGCGUGCCUAACACAUGCAAGUCGAGCGAGAAAGUCCGCAAGGAUGAGUACAGCGGCGCACGGGUGCGUAACACGUGGGUAAUCUGCCCUGAAGCCCGGAAUAACCUCCCGAACGGGAAGCUAAUGCCGGAUAAGACCACGGGAGCCUCGGCUCCUGCGGGAAAAGGUGGCCUCUGCACGCCAGCUAACACUUCAGGAUGAGCCCGCGGCCCAUCAGCUCGUGGGCGGGGUAACGGCCCACCAAGGCUACGACGGGUAGCUGGUCUGAGAGGACGAUCAGCCACACUGGAACUGAGACACGGUCCAGACUCCUACGGGAGGCAGCAGUGGGGAAUCUUGCGCAAUGGGCGAAAGCCUGACGCAGCAACGCCGCGUGUGUGAUGAAGGUCUUCGGAUCGUAAAGCACUGUCGGGAGGAAAGAACAAGCCUGUGGCUAACAUCCACGGGCCUUGACGGUACCUCCAAAGGAAGCACCGGCUAACUCUGUGCCAGCAGCCGCCGUAACAC
rnacentral:rRNA from 1 species